GAUGAACGCUAGCGGCAGGCUUAAUACAUGCAAGUCGAGGGGCAGCAUGACUGUAGCAAUACAGUUGAUGGCGACCGGCAAACGGGUGCGGAACACGUACAGAACCUUCCUUCGAGCGGGGAAUAGCCCAGAGAAAUUUGGAUUAAUACCCCAUAGUACAACGGAGUGGCAUCACUUUGUUGUUAAAGAUUUAUCACUUGAAGAUGGCUGUGCGGCUGAUUAGGUAGUUGGCGGGGUAACGGCCCACCAAGCCUGCGAUCAGUAACUGGUGUGAGAGCACGACCAGUCACACGGGCACUGAGACACGGGCCCGACUCCUACGGGAGGCAGCAGUAAGGAAUAUUGGUCAAUGGACGAAAGUCUGAACCAGCCAUGCCGCGUGGAGGAUGAAGGUCCUCUGGAUUGUAAACUUCUUUUAUAUGGGACGAAAAAAGGGUUUUCUAACUCGUCUGACGGUACCAUAUGAAUAAGCACCGGCUAACUCCGUGCCAGCCGCCGCAGUAA
rnacentral:rRNA from 1 species